rnacentral:rRNA from 1 species
CCAAUAGCGUAUAUUAAAGUUGUUGCAGUUAAAAAGCUCGUAGUUGAACUUCGGGAUUCACCCAUUGGUCAGGCUUAAUUGUCUGUACUGGUGAGAUGAGUCUCUACCUUCUGAGGAACUUUCAUGCCAUUUAUUUGGUGUGGUUGGAAAUCAGGACUGUUACUUUGAAAAAAUUAGAGUGUUUAAAGCAGGCUAACGUCUGAAUACAUUAGCAUGGAAUAAUGAAAUAGGACGGAUUGAUUCUAUUUCGUUGGUUUCUAGGGUCACCGUAAUGAUUAAUAGGGAUAGUUGGGGGCAUUAGUAUUCAAUUGUCAGAGGUGAAAUUCUUGGAUUUAUUGAAGACUAACUACUGCGAAAGCAUUUGCCAAGGAUGUUUUCAUUAAUCAAGAACGAAAGUUAGGGGAUCGAAGACGAUCAGAUACCGUCGUAGUCUUAACCAUAAACUAUGCCGACUAGGGAUCGGACGCAGUUAAUUUUAUAAUGACGUGUUCGGCACCUUACG